GGAAUAUUGCGCAAUGGGGGCAACCCUGACGCAGCAAUGCCGCGUGAGUGAAGAAGGCUUUCGAGUUGUAAAGCUCUUUUCUGCGGGAAGAGAGAGGACGGUACCGCAGGAAUAAGUCCCGGCCAACUACGUGCCAGCAGGCGCGGUAAAACGUAGGGGGCGAGCGUUAUCCGGGAUUAUUGGGCGUAAAGCGCAUGUAGGCGGACGGGUAAGUUGGUUGUGAAAGCUCUCGGCUUAACCGAGGGAGGUCAAUCAAAACUGCUCGACUUGAGUGAGGUAGAGGCGCACGGAAUUCCCGGUGUAGUGGUGGAAUGCGUAGAGAUCGGGAGGAACAUCAGUGGCGAAGGCGGUGCGCUGGGCCUCAACUGACGCUGAGAUGCGAAAGCGUGGGUAGCGAAC
rnacentral:rRNA from 1 species